rnacentral:rRNA from 1 species
GGGUACACGAGCGGCGAACGGGUGAGUAACACGUGAGCAACCUGCCCCUGACUCCGGGAUAAGCGGUGGAAACGCCGUCUAAUACCGGAUACGACCCACCACCUCAUGGUGGAGGGUGGAAAGUUUUAUCGGUCAGGGAUGGGCUCGCGGCCUAUCAGCUUGUUGGUGGGGUAACGGCCUACCAAGGCGAUUACGGGUAGCCGGCCUGAGAGGGCGACCGGCCACACUGGGACUGAGACACGGCCCAGACUCCUGCGGGAGGCAGCAGUGGGGAAUAUUGCACAAUGGGCGAAAGCCUGAUGCAGCGACGCCGCGUGGGGGAUGACGGCCUUCGGGUUGUAAACCUCUUUUACCACCAACGCAGGCUCCACGUUCUCGUGGGGUUGACGGUAGGUGGGGAAUAAGGACCGGCUAACUACGUGCCAGCAGCCGCGGUAAUACGUAGGGUCCGAGCGUUGUCCGGAAUUAUUGGGCGUAAAGAGCUCGUAGGCGGCAUGUCGCGUCUGCUGUGAAAGACCGGGGCUUAACUCCGGUUCUGCAGUGGAUACGGGCAUGCUAGAGGUAGGUAGGGGAGACUGGAAUUCCUGGUGUAGCGGUGAAAUGCGCAGAUAUCAGGAGGAACACCGGUGGCGAAGGCGGGUCUCUGGGCCUUACCUGACGCUGAGGAGCGAAAGCAUGGGGAGCGAACAGGAUUAGAUACCCUGGUAGUCCAUGCCGUAAACGUUGGGCGCUAGGUGUGGGGACUUUCCACGGUUUCCGCGCCGUAGCUAACGCAUUAAGCGCCCCGCCUGGGGAGUACGGCCGCAAGGCUAAAACUCAAAGGAAUUGACGGGGGCCCGCACAAGCGGCGGAGCAUGUUGCUUAAUUCGACGCAACGCGAAGAACCUUACCAAGGUUUGACAUCACCCGUGGACCUGUAGAGAUACAGGGUCAUUUAGUUGGUGGUGACAGUGGUGCAUGGCUGUCGUCAGCUCGUGUCGUGAGAUGUGGGGUAAGUCCCGCAACGAGCGCAACCCUGUCCAUGCACGUAAUGUGGGGACUCAUGGAGACUGCGGGUCACUCGGAGAGUGGGACGACGUCAGUCAUCAUGCCCUAUGUCUGGGCUGCAACAUGCUACAUGACGUUACAUGGGGGUGCGAUACCGUAAGGUGGGAGCGAAUUC